rnacentral:rRNA from 1 species
UUUUUAAUUGGGGACUGGUAUGAAAGGUUUAAUCAGGAAUUUGCUUUUUUAUAGUUAAAAGUAUAAAUUAAUUAAUAAGUUAAAAGGCUUAUAUAUUUUAAAGUGACAAGAAGACCCUAAGAGUUUGACAAGUAAUAUUAGAGUGAGUAGUUAAGUAGAAGUGAGACAAGUCUAAUAAAAUUUGUUUGACUGGGGCGGUUAAAAUAUUAUCUAUUUUGUUAAGGACAUUAAUGAAGGGAGUAGGUUUAGUUAAUAUCCUAAUUGGAAAGCAAAAUAAAUUACCUUAGGGAUAACAGCAUAAUCUUUUUUGAGAGACCGUAUUGACGGAAAGGUUUGUGACCUCGAUGUUGGAUUUGAAUAACUUUUUGGAGCAGCAUUUAUAAAAG